AAUAUUUGACAAUGGGCGCAAGCCUUAUCCAGCCAUGCCGCGUGUGUGAAGAAGGCCUUCGGGUUGUAAAGCACUUUUGUACGGGAAGAAAAGCCCUUGGUUAAUACCCGGUGGUCCUGCCGUUACCGUCAGAAUAAGCACCGGCUAACUUCGUGCCAGCAGCCGCGGUAAUAAGAAGGGUUCAAGCGCUACUCGGAAUUACUGGGCGUAAAGCGUGGGUAGGUGGUUUGGUAAGUCUGAUGUGAAAGCCCUGGGCUCAAACUGGGAAUGGAAUUGGAUACUGGCAGUCUAGAGUGAGGUAGAGGGUAGCGGAAUUCCCGGUGUAGCAGUGAAAUGCGUAGAUAUCGGGAGGAACAUCCGUGGCGAGGGCGGCUACCUGGACCAGCACUGACACUGAGGCACGAAAGCGUGGGGAGCAAACAGG
rnacentral:rRNA from 1 species